UACGGGGGGGGCAAGCGUUGUUCGGAAUUACUGGGCGUAAAGGGCUCGUAGGCGGCCAACUAAGUCAGACGUGAAAUCCCUCGGCUUAACCGGGGAACUGCGUCUGAUACUGGUUGGCUUGAAUCCGGGAGAGGGAUGUGGAAUUCCAGGUGUAGCGGUGAAAUGCGUAGAUAUCUGGAGGAACACCGGGUGGCGAAGGCGGCAUCCUGGACCGGUAUUGACGCUGAGGAGCGAAAGCCAGGGAGCAAAGCGGG
rnacentral:rRNA from 1 species